GAUAACAGGCUGACCUUCCCCAAGAGUCCACACAGACGGAAAGGUUUGGCAACUCAAUGUCGGCUCUUUGCUACUUGAAGCCGUAGGUGGUUCCAAGGGUUGGGCUAUUUGCCCAUUAAUGCAGUACGUGAGCCAGGUUCAGAAUGCCGUGAGACAC
rnacentral:ncRNA from 1 species